CAGUAACGUGCAGGUACUACUUUUAUAUACCAUAGGCUUCCCACACAUCUACAAGACUGAGGUCAGCAAACAACUUUUUCUGUAUAAACACUGUUAUGCAAGACUCCUGAAGCUGCUGUGCCCACAGAAGCAUAAGAUAAUGGAGACGACUCAACAGAUCACUUCCUAAUGGUGUUAAGAGGUGGAAGCUGGUGCAUCCUCGAGUGAAUAUAUUCUCGGAACAGAGGUGUGUUUUUUUUUUAGUUUGUUGGCAGUGAAAGCAAUACCUAAGCAGUUCUGAAGCUGAAUUAUGGGCUUCAGGGUGUAUGGAAAGUUUGCUGGUUACAAGGACGCUGACAUCUAUCCCUUUCACUAAACUGUUAAAUAAAGAAAAUCCUAAACUC
rnacentral:lncRNA from 1 species